rnacentral:rRNA from 1 species
UACGGGGGGGGCAAGCGUUGUUCGGAAUUACGGGGCGUAAAGGGCUCGUGGGUGGCCACCUAAGUCAGCGGUGAAAUCCCUCAGCUUAACUGGGGAACUGCGUCUGAUACUGGAUGGCUUGAGUUUGGGAGAGGGAUGCGGAAUUCCAGGUGUAGCGGUGAAAUGCGUAGAUAUCUGGAGGAACACCGGUGGCGAAGGCGGCAUCCUGGACCAACACUGACACUGAGGAGCGAAAGCCAGGGGAGCAAACGGG